UCCCUUAUGGCUCAGCUGGUAAAGAAUCCACCUGCAAUGUGGGAGACCUGGGUUCGAUCCCUAGGUUGGGAA
rnacentral:tRNA from 1 species